CACACACACACACACACACACACACACACACACAUCAAAGAGAUCCAUACUGUACCAUUAUUUCACAGAAAUCAAUAUAAAACAGAAACAGUUAUAUAGUUCAGUAGUUUGAGGUUUAACAGAUAAUGCAUGUACAGAUA